UGGAAAAAUAACCACUGUAUCUCCACUGUAACAGCUAUCCAGAGCCAAAUCCAAAUCAUCGUGCUGUUGGAUAAGUGUGUCUGAAGCUAAGUCUUUUACCUGAAAAGAAUAAGAGAGUAGACCGUCAACAAUAGAUCUGGAGGCUGCAAAUCCAGAAUGAAGGUGUCAAUUUGGUGUCUUUUGAGGCCUCUCUCCUUAGCUUGCAGAUGGCCACCUUUUUGCUGCCUCUUCACAUGGUUGUCCCUCUGUACACAUGUACUGCUGUUAUCUCUUUGUGUGUCCAUAUUGCCUCUUAAAAGGACACCAGUCAGACUUUCAUUUAGCAUCAACCAUAAUGGCCUUGUUUUAACUUAAUCACUUAUUUACCUUAUCACCUAAUAUAUAUAUAUAGUUACAUGCUGAGGUACUGGGGGGCUAGAACUUCAACAUACGAACUUUAGGGAGACACAAUUCAGUCCAUAAAACCCCUAAGAUCUGGAACAAGACAAAGAUACCCACUUUAACUACUGUUAUUCAACAUUAUAUUAUCCAGAAGAAGUUCUAGCCAGAGCAACUAGGUAAAAAUAAAUAAAAGGCAUCUAGGUUGGAAAGGAAGAAGGAAGCUAUCUCCAUCUGCAGACAACAUGACCCUAUAUUCUUCUUUGUACCCGGUAUGUUUUUAGAUACAAUGAUCACAUCUUUUGUAGCAUUACAGGGAAAAUCUGACAACAAUGGUGAAUACAUUACUGGGACAUGAAUGACAAACAGUAGUAAUAAGAGCAGUUGACAUUUUUGUGAUAGGCACUUUGCUAAAAGGUCUGUAGAAAUUACUUCAUUUAAGCCUAACAACUCAAUAUAGUAGACUGCAUUACUCCCUUUUACAGAUGAGGAAAUAUGAGAAACUAAUUAUAAUUUGUUUAAUCUCAUACAAGUAUUAAGAAGCAAAGCUGUGAGUCAAACCCAGAUUUUCAUUAUUUCAAAGCCUAUGUUCUUUACCACCACACUGUCCUGUUUCCAGAGAAAGAACAGCAUAAAGCCCUGUGAUGAACAAUGGGGAUACUGCUGUUUGUCUAAGGUCUGGGAGAAUGACUAAUGUUGAACUUAGGCACUAGAACAAGUACUAUUUAUCUUUGCCAGGAAUGAUUCAGGAGCCAGAAUGGGUCUAUCUAAAGACAGUCAUCACAAUUUGAGAUUUUGAAGAAUAAGAGAGUAGGUAAGGAUUGAUAUUUAAUUUGAUUGGAAGGAUAUUUGUGACAGCUGAAUAAAGCAUACAGGACGACUAGGAGAACUGUGUACAAAAAGAUAGUUAAGUUCAAAUUUAGAACUGUUCUAUGUCAGUGAGAUACCCAAGUACAGAUGCUCAGGACAUGUAGUAAUGUUGGUCAGCAAAGAAUACAAGCAAGAAGGGAAAGAGAAAAGGAAACAAAUUUUCUGAGAAACCAUGUGUGCCAGGCAUGGCUGGGUACUUUACAUCUAGGUACUUAACAUCUCAUUUCAUCCUCAAAAAACCCUGUAAGGUAGUGCCUCUGGUUGUUCUUGUUGGUGAUAAACAUUUAUUAAGUAUUGGGCAUUAUUCUAAGCAUAUUACAAAUAUAAACUCAUUUAAUCCUCACAACUCUAUAAAUGAAGAAUACUGUAUUAUCCCUAUUUUAGGUUUUACGAAUAAGGAACUAAAGUACAGAUGGGUAAAAUAACUUGUUGAAAAUCACAUAACUAGUAAGUGGUAAAGCCAGAAUCUGAAUCCAAGCAGUUUGGCUCCAGAGCCAAUGCUUUUAAUCAGCAUAGUACACGAUUUUAUCUUUUUAAAGCAAAUAAAUAAAUAAGGAAACUGAGGUUCAAGGUUAAGCAGCUUACCCAAGAUUACACAGUUACUAAGUGGUCUCAGGCUAUUUAAACUCUGGGCUAUCUGACUACAAAGUCCAUGUCUUCUCACUACACUGCUUGUGAAGAUUACCAUAAAGAUGAUGGGCAUGGAUGAAACUGUUUAAGGAAAGAGUAUUGAUCAGGAAGGAAGAACACUGAGUAAAGAGUCUUCAAAGUUGAGAAAAUUGUUUAAAGGCUAUGUAUGUAGCUAUGACUACUAUAUCAAAAUUAAAAUAUUUUGUUAACCUCAAAGGUAAAUCUAAAAUAAAAGAUCUAGUCUCAU